AACCAUGGAAUCAUGCUGGAAAAUCCAACAAUUUCUAGAGAGUUGUUCUCUUAGGAAAAAAGUAAAAAAUUCUUUAUUUGUGGUUUUUUAUUUUGAUGAGGUCCUUUGAUGCUAACCCCAGCAAAUGUGGAAGGAUGAUUGUAGAUUUUGAAUGAACUAUCUAAAGUACUAAAACUGUAUCCUCAAAAUAAAUGCAGCAGCCUGGAUUGUUCCAUUACCAUCUGAAAUGUCAUGCUGAUAGAUUCACCAGAUCCUGCAACAUGGAAGCUACUGACUGCCUUGGGUAGAGUUCAAAUGGAUUCUGCCCAAGGCAGCAAAAAUAUUUUGAGAUGGCUCUCGGUCUUUUUCAGCAAGCUCUUUCAAUAGUACAGUACAGGGCUGGGAUUUUCCUAUGACCGCAGAGACAUUAAUGCCUUGCAACAGGCAUUGUUCUCUACUCAGCUUCUACUUUGAAACAAACUUUGAUUUUUCCUGUUUUUCCCUUUUGAUUUAGCAAUUAUCAUCUUGAGGCUAAAAUGCCUGUAAAGGAGGCAAGGAAGCCAGAUUGGAAGAGGAGGCGGUGAGAGUUCGGAGUGAGGGAAAGCAGGAGAGUGUGUGUAUGUGUAUGUUGUACCAGUAAAACUUAAAGCUAGGGAAGAGAAGAAUGUUGAUGGUAUGGCAGUUAAACUAGUUGGUUGCCUUUUUCUUUUUGUUAUACCUAACUUGUUGCUUUAAUUUGGAACUAUUUUUUGUUUCUCUUUCCCACAAAUCUAAGGCUACAGGAGAUUUCUUUCACCCCACAUUAGGGGGCAAUUUUAAUGCCAUAGUAAGAUAUUUUAAAACGUAUGACAGAUAAUAUCAGUACUUGGGUGACUAAAGCAUAUCACUUUUGGCCUCAGUUCUGGAAGAUAUGUUGGUGUCAUAAUGAGUGGUAGAAGCUGCCAUGUCAUAUCCCGGGGAGAAGAAACUGUUCUCUGCUUAUAACGCUUAGUGAAAUUGUGUUCUAGUCCUGUCUGCUCAAACAGGAGAAAAACAAGUCUGCUCCAUCUCCUACAUGACAGCUCUUCAGAUAUUUGAAGACAGCUAUCGAGUACUGCCUGCAAGGAGCAUCAUCAUCUUUGCAAAGGUGUUUGUUUCGAGUGCUAAAUUUUCCCACUUGUGACUUAAACCUUGACAGAAGGUUGGACUUGAUUACCUUUUUGACCUUUCUAGAUUCUUUUUAAAAAAUGUAUUGUUCUUUGAUUCAAGAAAACAACUAGUGUAGACUUAAUUGUAUAGACUAUGAAACCAUUCUUUGUUGGUUGUAACUAGCAGACACUUACCUUUAAGUAAAUUAAAGACUUUGAUGUUAAUUAAAGACUGUGAACAACUAAAUUUGGUAUGUAAGGAAACUAUUACUUUGUCCACCUAAGAGUUAUGUUUAUUUUUAAGGCUUAUCCAUGUGAUGGUCUUAUAUGUCCAUAUUUUUCUUU